rnacentral:rRNA from 1 species
GACGAACGCUGGCGGCGUGCUUAACACAUGCCAGUCGAACGGAAAGGCCCUGCUUUUGUGGGGUGCUCGAGUGGCGAAAGGGUGAGUAACACGUGAGUAACCUGCCCUUGACUUUGGGAUAACUUCAGGAAACUGGGGCUAAUACCGGAUAGGAGCUCCUGCUGCAUGGUGGGGGUUGGAAAGUUUCGGCGGUUGGGGAUGGACUCGCGGCUUAUCAGCUUGGUGGUGGGGUAGUGGCUUACCAAGGCUUUGACGGGUAGCCGGCCUGAGAGGGUGACCGGCCACAUUGGGACUGAGAUACGGCCCAGACUCCUACGGGAGGCAGCAGUGGGGAAUAUUGCACAAUGGGCGGAAGCCUGAUGCAGCAACGCCGCGUGCGGGAUGACGGCCUUCGGGUUGUAAACCGCUUUCGCCUGUGACGAAGCGUGAGUGACGGUAAUGGGUAAAGAAGCACCGGCUAACUACGUG